ACAAUGACAUGGUCAGGUUGAAAAUAAAAGUAAUGUGAUCUAUCUUUGGGAAAGGCUUAUUCUUUGCACCAGGAUAAAUAUCUGGUUCUGUUUUCCCACAUGUGGGAAACUCAAUUGCAUAAUUUUUGGCAAUGGAAGACUGCUUUAU
rnacentral:snRNA from 1 species